rnacentral:lncRNA from 1 species
UUUCCUCCGCUGCUCCCUUUGGUCAUCGUUGCUGCAUCAUCUAAUUCUCAUCUGCGCAUCCGCUGGUCCAGUCCUUCUGCUGUCCGGUGCUGCUCCUCGUCCUCAAUCACGCCUCUGCUGAUUUUCGCCUCUAUACUCAACGUCCUCAGUCACUGCAGGUUUGAAUUAAUUUUGAGAUUGUGAUUUCAAAUGCUCUCUUUUUUGUGUAAAUUAUUGAAAUGGGUUGUUGAAUUUUAUUGAUAUGUUAAUGUGAGAUU